ACCAAUCAGCGCUCUGCCGUGUUCAGCGGACGCUCGGCGUCAGGUUCGUGGCUCACUGGACGUGUCGAGCUGCAGUUUACAGCAACAAAGGAGCCGUCGCUUCGUCGCUGAACAACGCGCGUAACAGCGCCGUGAAAACGCCGCAGUCAUCGGCGCAGGAGAGACGAGAGCUCCGUUGUUCGUACCCAGCGGAGGUCCCGAGAGGAACGUGUCGCCCGGGGAGUUGUGUUCGGAGCGGCCGUUCCGUCUUCCCGAGGACCGUUUGUGGGGUGUUAGAAGCCGCAGCUCCGCCGCAUUGAUGAGGUAGCGUCCGGCUCCACGCAGCGCGGCAGCCACCUGCACCGACACCCCCCCCCCCCCCCCCUCCCUCCUCCCGUCCGGCCGCCACCGCAGCCAUGGGCCAGAAGAUCUCCGGCGGCAUCAAAUCCGUGGACGGCCGCGGGGAGAGCGGCGGCUCUCCGUCCUACCGGCCCCUGGCCCAGCGGCGGCAGCACCCGGAGCUCCGGGGCCCGGACUUCUCCAAGCCCCCCCGGCUGGACCUCCUGCUGGACAUGCCGUGCGCCGGGCUGGAGGCCCAGCUCCGGCACAGCUGGAAUCCCGACGACCGCUCCCUAAACAUCUUCAUCAAAGACGAGGACAAGCUGACGUUCCACCGCCACCCGGUCGCCCAGAGCACCGACUGCAUCCGGGGCCGCGUGGGCUACACGCGGGGGCUCCACGUGUGGAGGAUCCACUGGCCCUCGCGGCAGCGGGGCACGCACGCCGUCGUGGGCGUGGCCACCUCCGAGGCGCCGCUGCACUCCGUGGGCUACACGGCGCUGGUGGGCUCGGACGCCGAGUCCUGGGGCUGGGACUUGGGGCGGAACCGGCUCUACCACGACAGCAAGAACCGGGCCCAGAGCUCGAUUCCGUUUUACCCCUGCUUCCUGGAGCCGGAGGAGACGUUCACGCUGCCGGACUCGCUGCUGGUGAUUCUGGACAUGGACGAAGGGACGCUGAGCUUCAUGGUGGACGGGCAGUACCUGGGGGUGGCGUUCAGGGGCCUGAAGGGCAAGAAGCUCUAUCCCAUCGUCAGCGCCGUGUGGGGACAUUGUGAGAUCACCAUGAAGUACAUCAACGGCCUGGACCGAAACAGCUGGAACUUUCCUAAUAUCAGUCAGUCUGGUCUCCGGAGCGCGGGGAGCGUCUGCAGUUGUUUGGAGUUUUGCUGCCAGCAGCUGAUCACAUGAAAGUGGUUUUUUUUACGGAGGCGGCGUGAAGGGGGAAAUGUGUCACUGCCGGCCGGACCCGUCCCUCAUUCAAAAGCAUCAGUCCUUUGACCAAGACACAGUAAAGAGCGAUCACGGCAGGAUGACUGUUGCUGAUUAAUCAGAAAGCAUCACGCCAGUGUGGCGUUAGGGAGGCUGUAGUUGGAUUACAGCUGAAUGGAGCUGAAUGGAGUGGAGAUGAUAUGCCAUUAAAGCUUCAUCUGACGCCUGGAUGCUGUUCACGCUCCCUUUAAUUCUGGCUCCAUGUCUUCUAUCUGUCUGCCGCGUUCGCUCACCGUGUGACGCAACCCUGUGAUUUACCGCACCUCUCGGUCGCUUGCUUCACUCGGUGCUUUCCAGCGUCAUCAGGUGAGGCGAGGGCCGGAGACGACGGCCCACCAGCGACAGCCGUAGUUUCCUCCAAAGGGCUUUUAUGUCUUCCUGUAAAUCAGCUGAUUCCUAAUUUAAACCCGGGGACGGUGGAGCGUUACACUCCGGUGUCAGGUUACGCCUCUCUGCCUCCCUCCACACACACACACGCACACACACACACACACACACACACACACACACACACACACACACACACACACACACACACAGGUCCAGGAUCAGCCUGAUGAACGCAGCUUGAACAAUGGACCCCGUCUAAUGAGUAACAAGGAUAACAACAUCUUUUCCAUUAGUGGUAACGAGCAUCUGUUCAUCGCAUCCUUUCGCCUUUUCCUGCUCCUCCACAGUGAGCUUGGAGUCGUCCCCGCUGCCGUGCGUGCCUUUGAGCCCCGGUGGGUCAGUCUCAGCACUUCCUCUGCAAAUUACGCGUGGACAUGGUUUAUGCCGUUUGCAAAGCUGCGCGUAAGCAGUACAGUUAAUUGGAGGUGUGCUUAGUACAGUAAAUUAUGCCAGCGCGUCUCCUCUAAUAUUGACAUUUGUAUGAAUAAAGUUGCCUCGCUGCAGUUGCGGCUGCCAAGGAUGUGUGGGGGUCAGACGGGCCAGCUGUGCCGCCUCCCGGUUGCUAUUUAUCACCCUCUUGUCUGUGUCCGUCCUCCCUCUCAUCUCUCGCUCCCCGACCCCGCGUCUCCUCCUCCUCCUCCUCCUCCUCCUCCCUCCUCUCUUUUCUUACUCCUCCUCCACAUCUCUCCUGCACCUCUCCUCCAGAGGGUAAAUAGUGGAUUUACAGUAAUGCAGGACGGCGAAGCUUUAAAACGAAGCGCCGCCGUGGCUUGUAUUACCACAGUCGCUGUGAAGACAUGACUCACAGCGCGGGAUCCUGACAAACAACGCAAGCGCCCGGUUACAGCAGCUUAAGCCAAACAUCUCCAACUGGGAUCGGCUCAGCGACGCCGUCAAGGAUUUUCACGCCCUCCUCUGUUGAGUCCGUGUGGGACGGACUUAGUGGAACUCUGUCUCUAGCUGUUAGUCGUCCCGCCCUGUGGCUGCGUCUCUAUUUUAGGCUUUUCGAGCCGUCGCGUUGCUGAGGUCAAGGAGGUCGACUGUACUUUGACAGCACUUGUCAUAUGUAAAGUUUAGGUUUCCCUCUCUGUCCACGUAGCAAAAGUUGACAUGACAGUUAAAUCUGGACUCACCGGAAGAAACACAGCGGCUGCUUAAUUAGAGCGCUUAUUUUGUGAGAAGUGUUGCUAUUUGUGUCAGACUGUCUGGGAAACGCCGGCUUUUAUAAUAACAAAGGUCUGCUCGGCUCGUUUGCUGGACUGAGCUCGGAGCUUCUUUGCAUUUGCGGUUUGUCUCCGGACCUCCUUUGAUUCGGGCGUGUGUGUGUCGGUUUGAUUUCCUGUACGCGUGACCUUGCAUAUGCAUGGGGGGGGGGCGCUUUGCAUGCGCUUCUCCACCCGCGUGAACGAUGACGUUCGCACCUUCGGCCUGUCUGGGCCGACGGCGUCGCAGGAGGUCAUUGGGAGAGUGUUGCCUAAACGUGUCCCAUCAUUAAGCAACGAUGAGCUCCUAUUAUGCACCUACACGUGCUGGAUGUGCAGAGAUCCAGACGUGAAGCAAACUUUCACCACUGUUAUGUGAAAUCCGCGUAAUUACAGUUUGGUUCAUGCCUAUAUUAUAUUGACUUUAAUUAAAGGAUUAAAGGAUUACACGCUACUCCGCAUUCUUCCACCUCUUGGGCUCAGAAGCACUUCCAAAACUCGCCGAUACCGAUUAGGAACUGCAUCGUCAUCGGGCUGAACGCGCGGCCCACUCCUGUUUUGGUGGAGGUCUUGGAGGCAGAGCAGCGUUCGCAAUAAAAGCACCAGCUGUUGUCCAUAUUUACGCGUCCCUGUGCGUGAGUGAGGACGGCGUCCGUCGCUUUCCUCUCCGACCUGUCGGGCUUUUCUCAGCGUCCUGCACUUCCCCCAGGUCGAUUUUCACCCGCGUCAUAAAAGCGAUGCUGCGGUUGCCGUUCUCCCCCGCUCCAUCGUAACCGCCGUCUCCAGACCAUAAAUCCCGCCGGGUGCCACGUCGCGUGCCCUCAUUACUUCUUGUUCACAUCGCAGCGGAGUCGGCGGCGAUUCGUGUCACAAAACGUCUCAUCGGGGAAGAGGUCCUGUGAUUGCUUCACGCGCGGUGUCAGACCAGCGCGUCAGUGAAGAGUUUACGAUGCAGACGUUGGUCAUCGUCCCGAAACGCGUCAGUCAGCGGAGUUUCUGGGGUUGCUGGAAGGUUGCUAGUUGGAUUCCCGCAGUUUCUGCUUCGUAAUGUCCCAGUUCUCUCACGCAGCACUUUAAGGACUCAACUAGUUAACUGAUGAGGUCAUUAACAGUAGAUUGGUGGAACCAAACACACUUCAAACCCAAAGCCUGAAAAAACUCAAGGGGUCAAAUAUUUUAUAAUUCAAAUUCCACCUGAGUCUGAACCGUUAAUAGUCGUCGGGCUGUGUUGUGUACUGUAGGUGCAGCAGCUGGGAGGCCCCGUUCUGUUGGUUUAACCUUGAAUACACACACACGCAGCAUUGUACAGACUGCCUACUACUUUAAAGGGCCCGUCCCGCUCCUCAAGCUCAUGGUCCGCAUCACUAAUCGCACCCUGCUCAAAAGUGAGGUCAUUAUCUCCGGGCCUCAAAUGCAGCUUUUGCAUAGCCUCUAUAUUUGCACUUGCUUCCUUUUUAUUUAAAUGACUUCCAUUGUGUGUUUUUCGCCCCCCCCCCUCUAUUUCUUUCCUGGUCACUGAGUUCAGAGUCACUGUGCUCUUUACUGUAGAGAUGUAAAGAUAUGUCAUGUUCACCAAAGUUCACUCAUCCUGCUUUGGAAGUAUAUGAUUCAAACUUUAAGUUAGUGAAGUUUAACUUCUGAUUUCUGAUGAAAUUGAAACAAUUACCAAUAGUUUGUCCGAAACGAAUGAAACGAGUCAUAACUCGGCCGCGUUUCACUCUGACUGAUGCUUUCGCCGUUUCAAUGGGCUCUUUGUAACGUGUCUGAGCUAGAAUCAGGUGUCACGGCGAGGGAGGAGGGGCUGUAAAUAUUUAAAAGGUGGCUCAUCGUUUCUCUCUGCCCUUCCACAGUGUGUGUGUGUGUGUGUGUGUGUGUGUGUGUGUGUGUGUGUGUCUCAUUCAUUCAUGCAUACCCAAUGUAAAACUCCAUUAUGCAUGUAUGAAGGGGAGAGGCGCGUACUGUCCAUUCAUCUCUCCCCAUCAGGGGUCUCCCUCUUAUAACGGCCGUGUCCUUCUCU